UACGUAGGGGGCAAGCGUUGUCCGGAUUUAUUGGGCGUAAAGAGCGUGUAGGCGGCCUGACAGGUCUGCUGUGAAAACUCGAGGCUCAACCUCGAGAUGUCGGCGGAAACCGUCUGGCUAGAGUCCGGAAGAGGAGAGUGGAAUUCCUGGUGUAGCGGUGAAAUGCGCAGAUAUCAGGAAGAACACCCGUGGCUAAGGCGGUUCUCUAGUACGGUACUGACGCUGAGACGCGAAAGCGUGGGGAGCGAACAGG
rnacentral:rRNA from 1 species